rnacentral:lncRNA from 1 species
AUGAACAGGAGGAGAGGCCUUGACAUUAUCGAGAAAGAAGGAAUGGCUAAGAGCAGCGGAACUCGGAUAAGAGGCCGGAGACGUCCUGGGAGAAGGAUCAGUGUAGCAAAAACAGCACGUGUCUGGAAGAGGGGACCGGGCGCGAGUGGAUGCGUGAAGCAAAGCCAGGCGUGUUUGUGUUCCUCCCGCUCGGAGCCCGGAGCGACUGUUUCCACUCGAACGUCAUCGGAUGACGAGGACUGGGAAUCGUCAGCAGUAGCUGUUCCUGCCCUGAGGCCUGACCUACUGUCUGCCGCCACCCAUGAGCUGCACCUGUUUUCAAACCGACACGCAGCAAAACAGAUCCCCUUAGAAUAAAUGGUUUCAAACUACUGCACAGCACAGCAUUGUGAAAAUAAC